UUAAAAAAGAAACUAGGGCCACACUCUGAGGGAAAUGACGGCCUCAGUUUGUUGAAGUCUGAGUGAAGAAACAUCUCCUGCUCUGAUCGUGGAUCAGCUGCUUCAGCUGCAGGUGGAGGUCUACAGGAACUGACCUCAGAUCAGCUACGGGUGGAGGUAUACAAGAACUGACCUCAGAUCAGCUGCAGGUGGAGGUCUACAGGAACUGACCUCAGAUCAGCUUCAGGUGGAGGUAUACAAGAACUGACCUCAGAUCAGCUGCAGGUGGAGGUCUACUGGAACUGACCUCAGAUCAGCUGCAGGUGGAGGUCUACAGGAACUGACAUCAGAUCAGCUGCAGGUGGAGGUAUACAAGAACUGACCUCAGAUUAGCUGCAGGUGGAGGUAUACAAGAACUGACCACAGAUCAGCUGCAGGUGGAGGUCUACAGGAACUGACCUCAGAUCAGCUACAGGUGAAGGUCUACAGGAACUGACCUCAGAUCAGCUGCAGGUGGAGGUCUACAAGAACUGACCUUAGAUCAGCUACAGGUAAAGGUCUUACAGACUGAGACCACACGGGGGCAGCACAGUGUCAUGAUGCUCUCCAAGCAAACAGUCUUCACACGUGAAAACCAGGACAAUCGCUGAUUUUUAAAGAUGCGACAGAGUUUCCAGUGUUUGGUUCUGCUACAGCGUCUUUGUCCCACAGUUUGGAAUAAAGACGCUGGUUUAUCUGAAGAUCCACCGACGAUACGCCACAUGUCCAACGUCUCUGUCUCUGUGUCUGUCUCCAACACUGUGGGGGACAAAGGAGGAGCGAGGACAGAGAGAGGAGGAGCGAGCGAUGAAGAAGACAUUUAAA